rnacentral:rRNA from 1 species
UACGUAGGCAGCAAGCGUUGUUCGGAGUUACUGGGCGUAAAGGGUGUGUAGGCGGUCCUCUAAGUUUGGUGUGAAAUCUCCCGGCUCAACUGGGAGGGUGCGCCGAAAACUGGAGGGCUAGAGUACUGGAUGGGAGAGUGGAAUUCCUGGUGUAGCGGUGAAAUGCGCAGAUAUCAGGAGGAACACCGGUGGCGAAGGCGGGUCUCUGGGCCGUUACUGACGCUGAGGAGCGAAAGCGUGGGGAGCGAACAGG